AUACGUAGGGUGCAAGCGUUAAUCGGAAUUACUGGGCGUAAAGCGUGCGCAGGCGGUUUUGUAAGACAGAGGUGAAAUCCCCGGGCUCAGCCUGGGAACUGCCUUUGUGACUGCAAGGCUAGAGUACGGCAGAGGGGGGUGGAAUUCCGCGUGUAGCAGUGAAAUGCGUAGAUAUGGGGAGGAACACCGAUGGCGAAGGCAAUCCCCUGGGCCUGUACUGACGCUCAUGCACGAAAGCGUGGGGAGCAAACAGGAUUAGAUACCCUGGUAGUCCACGCCCUAAACGAUGUCAACUGGUUGUUGGGUCUUCAGUGACUCAGUAACGAAGCUAACGCGUGAAGUUGACCGCCUGGGGAGUACGGCCGCAAGGUUGAAACUCAAAUGAAUUGACGGGG
rnacentral:rRNA from 1 species